CAUAUUGAGGAAAUCACAGAAUUAUUUAGCAAAAGAAGAAAAAUUAGAGAUCUGAGAUUCACAAAGAAGAAAAGGGUAGAUCUCAAGUGAGAUAUAAGAGCCCAAGAAGAGGAAAGCAGAGGUUAAUAGAUACAAGAAACGGAAAGGUGCAUGAGAGAGAGAGAAGAAGAAGAAGAAGAAGCAAGAAAGGAAGAAAGAAAUAAGAAGAAAAAGACCGGCCAGCUCAUGUCUUCA
rnacentral:misc_RNA from 1 species